AUGAAUUCUAAGCAGCGCAGCUAUUCCCGUCCCGGAAGUGAGCGAAGUGUGGUUGUGAGUGUGCAUUACACACGCAUUUGCAUUCACAGCCGAGGGGGUGCGGGAUGGGUGCCUCCCCGCUCACCCUGCCCUGUCUUUCAGGCCAUGAAGGAGCUGUGCCUGCUGCUGCGAGACCGAGCCCUGCUGCUGCCAUCCCUGAAGCUGAUGCUGGAGCGGCCAGAGCCGGAGCUGCGCGCCCUGGUGCUCGAGCAGGUCGCCGCCAUCACACAGGUGGAUGACUCCAACUGCGACCCCGAGCUGCUGUCCCUGCUGCUGGACGCUGGGCUGCUGGUGCCCUGCAUCCCUACCCGCUUCUACCCUCACCUCAUCCGCCACCUGCUGGCCGAGCAGGGCCGCUGGGACGAGGAGCAGCUGGCAGCACAGCUGCGGGCAGCCGGGCACGAGGCCGAAGCAGGCUCGCUCCUGCUGGCCGUGCGGGGCACGCACAGGGCCCUGAGGACUUUCCGAGCCGCCCUGGGCACCGGACAGCCGUCGAUGUGAGGGUGGGGCCCAGGCUCUCCAGCGAGUCUGUCCCCAGCGCUGCAAAUAAAGCUGAGCCACGGGCAGCCUCCCGACUGCUCCUGGUCCUGCUGCUCCGCAUACACUCCCAGAGACGGAUUCUUUCUCCCCUGUUCUCUUUUUAUCUCUGUCUCUUCGGGACGGAAUGCAAGCAGCGAAGUCUCUCAGCUGCGCCUCAGAACACUGAGGGAGGGGUGUGGGCCGCACGCAGGAAGAGGGUGAGGAAUGCCAACAGUCGGUCAGGCUGGUGCCGUGGGUGGGCAAGGCUGGCCUGGGCCUGAGCCUCAGAUUAGAGGAGCACGCGUGGUGGCCAUGGCACGCCUGUCACCCAGCGCUCCGGGAGGCCGAGGCAGGAGGGCUCCGAGUUCCAGCCCUGCCGAGGCGGCUGAGGGAGAUACCGCCUAAAAUGAAAAGGGGGCGGGGAUGUAGCUCAGUGCAGGACAGGACCAAGGGAGGGGGCGUAGAUUUCCCUCCCGGCUCCUUCCUUCUCUGCCUCCUGGCCAGCGGUGCUCCCGACGCUCCACUGCUCAGAGGACACACAGUCCAUGUAACAGUCUGCUGCCACCUCAUUCUUCAGGUCAGAAAUCAGUGUGACACCCUCACUGGAUUGGUAAACUGAGGCCCAGGGGCUGAAGGGCCUUGUUCCGGGACAGUGGUGAGUGCAGGUCCCUGCAUAGGUCCCCAGCUCCCUGCUCUGCAACCCGGAGGAGGCAGGAAUUUCCUUGGGGAAACUGCAGUGCUGGGACGCAGUCCUGCUCCCCACAAACCAUGUGUGCAAGGGUUACACCAUUUCCACGGAGCGAAAGAGAAAGAAGCUAAGGUAGGGAUCCUCUGCCCUGAGGAGAGGGCCCGAGCCCUCAGCACACUGGAAGCCCCCUCCGAGUCCCCAGCCGGUCUCGGAGCCCCUCCACCCGCUGGCUCCCUGCUGCUGCUCACAGCUCCUCUCCCCAGGCUUGGGAAGGCUCCUCCUGCAUCAGGUAAACAGGCGUGAAGCCCAUGUGUUGACCGCUCAGUGGAACCAGAACACCUUUGCUCUCUGCUUAUCCCAGCAGCAAAAAUAACGUAAGGUGCAGCCUGCUGAGCUCCUGUGUGUGUGCAGGGUCCCAUGCACCGGCGACCUCGAGCCACACCAGCAGGGAGAUCUGCUCCCCUUCCUGUAACAGAAAGCAGCACAGAGGGUUUACUGACUUGGACGGUGCUCCCCAAGAGGCAGAGUCCAGACUUGAACUCCCAUCCUCUGACACCCCGUUACCUGGGAAUUCUGGCUUCCUGGGCGCUGCUGAUAAUCUUACCACUUGCUACCUGGGAUCAGCCAGGGGCCACAAGCGUCUGCCUGUAUCUAGCAGAUAACCUGAAAUAUAGCCAAGAUCUGUAAGGCAGAAGAGAAGUUACCUGAGCCCUGUGGUGUGGGAGUUUGAGCACCCUGACCUAGGGAAGGGGUCGCCCCUUUUAGAAAAAAGCUCUGAGCUGGGUGCGCUGCUGCACCCGUGUAAUCCCAGCACUCUCGGGAGGCUGAGGCAGGAGGAUUGCAGGUGUGAGCCCAGCCUGUGCACCCUGUCUCAAAAAAGUCAAAAAGGGCUGGGGUUGUAGCUCAGUGCAAAGGCCCUGGGUUCAGUCCCCAGCACUGCAGGCAAACAAAAAAGGAAAAAGAUCUGCUUGGUCCCAGUGACCUGACACAGUUGCCAGAAUUCUAACUUAUCCGUCCCCAGAGCCUUCCAUAGCAGCUCCGUGUGCCCCAGCUUCGACUUUCCGAACUCCGCCUGCAUGGUGAUCAGGAAGAAUAUCGGGGGGGGACUCCCUUCACAGACGUUUCUGGGCCACCUGGGCCAGCCUCCCAGGACUCCUGGCUCUGGCCAAUCCCUGGCCUCUACCAAAAGUUGUCUUACGCCACAGUUGCCCUGGGUGGUAGCUUUGCCUGUCUGCAAGUCCCUUUUUAUUGCAGUCCUCCUGCUUCAGCCUCCCUCAGUGAUAGGGUUAGAGGUGCAGGGUCACUGUGCCUGGGUCUCUCUCACUCUACCGACCAAGCUGCUCUGCAUGUCUCUUUGUCUGUAGAUGCCCACUGCCUGGGAGCGCAUGGCCUUGCAGCCUGCAGUGCAUCUUCUGGCUGGGCCACCAAAGUAGAGGGGGAGCCAUCCCUGCCACCAGGACGGGAUGAGAGGCAGGGCUGAGGCCCAACAGAAAUCUCCUUAAAACAGCAACAGGGAGGAGACAGUGAAGCCCGGGCCGGGGCAGGGGAGGCACGGGCCGCAGAGGCUGCAUCCCCGGGCCUCGUGUUUGCUGGUGCGACCCAGUCAGGGAGGGGACAGAGCAGUCACUGCAGUGUGGGCUCUGGGUCUGCCCGCACCAGGCGCCUCUUGCCCUGUGACCUGUCUUGCAGCAGACGAGUGAAAAGUGGCUCCCUCCAGCCCAUGGCCUCUUCCUUCCUUCCCCUGAACACCUGCAGAGUUGCCAUGGCGAUGCAGCUCCCAGCUGGGCUGGCUGGCAGGGCCAGGGAGCUGCAGGCCCAGUGUUUCCCUGAGAGGGUUGGCCUUGAGCUAGGUCACCCUGCGUCCCUGGGGUCAGCACUGCCCUCGUGAGAUGGCCUUGCAGGGUAGGGGUGGGGCAGAGGGUCCAGAUAGUGCCCCAGCUUCUGGUGGGCACAGACCCACCAUCUGUAGGGUUCAGGCUAGGAUUAUUCAUUUUCUUUCUUCUCAUAAACAUACAAGAGUUUGUGAAGCUCAUUCUCAGCCUUGGACUCUCAAAACAAUUAUCCUCAUCUUAAAGACAUGCCAGGCAUGGUGAUGACAGCUGUAAUCUCAGCCCUCUGAGCGGCCAAGGCAGGAGGAUCACAAGUUCCAGCCCAGCCUGGGACAAUUUAGUGACUUAGUGAGACCCUGUCUCAAAAAAUAAAAAUUAAAAAAGGGCUGAGGAUAGAGCUCCAUGCAAAGGCCCUGAGUUCAUUCCUUAUGUAAAGAGAUCAAGUGACGUACUGAGGUCACAGGGUCAACAGUGAAGCUGGGAAGGGGACGUGGCCUUCCCAGUGCCAUUCCUGGGUCCCUUCUGUCAUGUUUCUUGGUUCUCUUCACCCCCUGCUUCUCACCGCCAGACUGGGUUAUGCAAGGGACAGGCAAAGAUCAGCUCUUCUCCCCAGGGCAGAAGCAGGCUUGGCACAGCUUUCUGUGAACAUCACAUAUUUUGCUUCGGAUGGAAAAAGAGGGCCUCUGCCCUCAGUGAGCAGCUCAGCUCGGUCCCUGACUGGCACCUGGAGGGGAUUCUGGGCUGAACAGGCCCAGGCCCAGGUAACCAGGGCCUGAGUCAUGAGCAUGCUUCUCUGUGCAGGAUGGGGACAAAGUGGCCACUGGACAAGCCUGGGGCCAACCCAGUGUGGGCCUGGGACUCAUCUCUCUCUGCUCAGUCCAGCAGAUGCAACUUGCCCUAAGAGAGGAAGACACAUUAGGAACGUAUUCCCCAGGCUCGGCAUAGACUACAGCAAAGCUCUCAUCCUAAGGAUACAUUGUGUCUCGGGUUUGGGUUUCUGGGUAUGGUGGUUUAUUGUGAUGUGUCGACUUGAGUAAGAACUGCCUAGCCCACUGGUAAAUUCUAGGUGUGUCUGUGGAUGAUUGACAUGUAAGCCAGCAAACUGAAGGGAAGAUCUGCCCCAGAGGUGGGAGACACCAACCAAUGGGGUUGUAGCCUGGGUGGAAUAAAAAGGGAAAGAAGGAAGUGUCUCAUUUUUUAGAAAAGAUCCAGUCUUUGCCAUUGUUUUGAACCUUGCUCUACAGUUUCUUCAGCCUUCCAAUGCAGCCUUGCACCCGUGACUACAGGUUGCUUCCAGGCCUUUGAGCUUCAACGCUACUGGGUCUUCCAUCUCUCCAGCACACAGGCUGCCAUUUUGGAUUCUUCGAAUCUGAUAAUGCAGGUGGCCAUUUUGACUCCUCAGCCUCUGAUCCUGAGCGUGCAUUUUAUAUUGGUUAUACUCCACAGAACACUAACUGAUGCAUGGUCCUUCACCUAUGAGAUUGCAUGCAGAAUUAUUUAGUGUACAUGAUAUGUGUGAGAGAAACAGAGUACAGAAGGGAGAGAUCCAUGGCUUUCUCUGGAGUCUCAAAAGUCUGAAAAGUUAAGAAACACAGAGUAAGGACCUUUUUGAGGGUGAUGUAAGCGGCUGAAUAAAAACACAGAGGAAUGAGAAAUUAUAUUCGGCAGAGUCUUAGCAUAGCAAGGAGCCUGUGCAGGGAAAGCAGCCCCAGUGCUUGUGAACUUGAACUUAGGACCACAGGCCAGGCUGGCUUUUACAUUGGUCUGAAUGUUGCUAUCCUCCCAAAAGUCACGUGGACGCCUGCUCCCCUGAUAGUGUUAGGAAUGGAGUCUUUAUGAG
rnacentral:lncRNA from 1 species